UGGCGGCGUGCCUAACACAUGCAAGUCGAACGGGGGUUUUGCUUCGGUAGAACCUUAGUGGCGAACGGGUGAGUAACGCGUAGGCAACCUGCCCCCCGGAUUGGGACAACACCCCGAAAGGGGUGCUAAUACCGGAUACGAAGAUAGCACCGCAUGGUGAUAUUUUGAAAGAUGGCCUCUACAGGUAAGCUAUCGCCGGGGGAUGGGCCUGCGUCCGAUUAGCUGGUUGGUGGGGUAACGGCCCACCAAGGCGACGAUCGGUAGCCGGUCUGAGAGGAUGAACGGCCACAUUGGGACUGAGACACGGCCCAGACUCCUACGGGAGGCAGCAGUGGGGAAUCUUCCGCAAUGGGCGCAAGCCUGACGGAGCAACGCCGCGUGAGUGAGGGUAAAGUUUUUCGGAACGUAAAGCUCUGUUGUACAUGACGAACGUGCGAUCUGUCAACAACGGAUGGCAGUGACGGUAGUGUACGAGGAAGCCACGGCUAACUACGUGCCAGCCGCCGC
rnacentral:rRNA from 1 species